AGAAUCAACGCUGGCGGCGUGCCUCAGACAUGCAAGUCGAACGCGAAAGUCCCCUUCGGGGGACAAGUAGAGUGGCGCACGGGUGAGUAGCACGUAGGUAAUCUACCUUCGGAUGGGGAAUAACAACCGGAAACGGUUGCUAAUACCGCAUAAUGCAGCGGCACCUAAUGGUGACAGUUGUUAAAGCGGGGGAUCGAAAGACCUCGCGUCUGAAGAGGAGCCUGCGGCGGAUUAGCUAGUUGGUAGGUAACGCCUACCAAGGCGACGAUCCGUA
rnacentral:rRNA from 1 species